AGCGAACGCUGGCGGCAGGCCUAACACAUGCAAGUCGAACGGAGUGGCGGACGGGUGAGUAACACGUGGGAACGUGCCCUUUGGUUCGGAACAACUCAGGGAAACUUGAGCUAAUACCGGAUGCCAUUGGAGCGGCCCGCGUCUGAUUAGCCGGUUGGUGAGGUAAAGGCUCACCAAGGCGACGAUCAGUAGCUGGUCUGGGAGGAUGAUCAGCAACAUUGAGACUGAGACACGGCCUGAACUCCUACGGGAUGCAGCAGUGUGUAAUCUUGCGCAAUGCGGGAAAGCCUGACGCAGCCAUGCCGCGUGAAUGCUGAAGGUCUUAGGAUUGUAAAAUUCUUUCACCGGGGACGCGGUACCCGGAGAAGAAGCCCCGGCUAACUUCGUGCCAGCCGCCGCGGUAAUUC
rnacentral:rRNA from 1 species